AAAAUGAUUUUUAUUGAAUUUUUUCAAUAGAAGCUUUUUCAAAAUCACUCGGUAGUGAUAUCCGAGUAUCAUUAUUUGAAUUUCAUUAAAAUUUUUUGUGGAAGCUUUAGUAGAAUUCACUUGGUGGUGAUAUUUGAGUUCUUUUUUAUAGUGAUAUUUGAAGUUAUUUACAUUUACUUAUAGGGAUAUUCGAGUAUUUUUCGGCAGUGAUAUCCAAAGUCAUUUGCAUUUUUUUGUGGGGAUAUACAAAUUUUUUUAGUGGUGAUAUCCAAAGUUACUUACGUUCACUUAAUGAUGAUAUCCAAGUACUCUUCGGUAGUAAAAUCUAAAGUCAUUUGCAUUUACAUGAUGAGGAU
rnacentral:lncRNA from 1 species